UGUGCCAGCAGCCGCGGUAAUACGUAGGGUGCGAGCGUUAAUCGGAAUUACUGGGCGUAAAGCGUGCGCAGGCGGUGAUGUAAGACCGAUGUGAAAUCCCCGGGCUUAACCUGGGAACUGCAUUGGUGACUGCAUUGCUGGAGUAUGGCAGAGGGGGGUGGAAUUCCACGUGUAGCAGUGAAAUGCGUAGAGAUGUGGAGGAACACCGAUGGCGAAGGCAGCCCCCUGGGCCAAUACUGACGCUCAUGCACGAAAGCAUGGGGAGCAAACAGGAUUA
rnacentral:rRNA from 1 species